GAUGAACGCUGGCGGCGUGCCUAAUACAUGCAAGUCGAGCGAACAGACGAGGAGCUUGCUCCUCUGACGUUAGCGGCGGACGGGUGAGUAACACGUGGAUAACCUACCUAUAAGACUGGGAUAACUUCGGGAAACCGGAGCUAAUACCGGAUAAUAUAUUGAACCGCAUGGUUCAAUAGUGAAAGACGGUUUUGCUGUCACUUAUAGAUGGAUCCGCGCCGCAUUAGCUAGUUGGUAAGGUAACGGCUUACCAAGGCAACGAUGCGUAGCCGACCUGAGAGGGUGAUCGGCCACACUGGAACUGAGAAACGGUCCAGACUCCUACGGGAGGCAGCAGUAGGGAAUCUUCCGCAAUGGGCGAAAGCCUGACGGAGCAACGCCGCGUGAGUGAUGAAGGUCUUCGGAUCGUAAAACUCUGUUAUUAGGGAAGAACAAAUGUGUAAGUAACUAUGCACGUCUUGACGGUACCUAAUCAGAAAGCCACGGCUAGCUACGUG
rnacentral:rRNA from 1 species